UGGGGAAUAUUGGACAAUGGAGGAGACUCUGAUCCAGCCAUGCCGCGUGAGUGAUGACGGCCUUCGGGUUGUAAAGCUCUUUUGUUAGGGAAGAUAAUGACGGUACCUAAAGAAGAAGCACCGGCUAACUUCGUGCCAGCAGCCGCGGUAAUACGAAGGGUGCAAGCGUUGUUCGGAAUUACUGGGUGUAAAGGGCAUGUAGGCGGACGGGAACGUUAGCGGUGAAACCCUAGGGCUCAACCUUAGAAGUGCCGUUAAAACGGAUUGUCUGGAAUAUCGGAGAGGAUAAUGGAAUACCCAGUGUAGAGGUGAAAUUCGUAGAUAUUGGGUAGAACACCAGUGGCGAAGGCGAUUAUCUGGCCGGAUAUUGACGCUAAAGUGCGAAAGCGUGGGGAGCAAACA
rnacentral:rRNA from 1 species